rnacentral:rRNA from 1 species
AGGAAAUAGAUACCCGGGUAGUCCACGCCGUAAACGAUGGAUGCUAGCUGUUAUCAGUAUCGACCCUGGUAGUAGCGAAAGCUAACGCGUUAAGCAUCCCGCCUGAGGAGUACGAGCGCAAGCUUAAAACUCAAAGGAAUUGACGGGGACCCGCACAAGCGGUGGAGCGUGUUGUUUAAUUCGAUGGUAAGCGAAGAACCUUACCAAGGUUUGACAUCCUGGGAAAGUCCGCGAAAGUGGACCGUGCCUUCGGGAACCCAGUGACAGGUGAUGCAUGGCCGUCGUCAGCUCGUGUCGUGAGAUGUUUGGUUAA